rnacentral:lncRNA from 1 species
AUUCUGUUGCACAAAAGUUUCAACUCAGCGGUUGUUGAAGCAGGGGGAUAUGAAAACAUGACGUGUGUGGAAAGGGACUGUCACAAUUAUAUUGAGCAGGUGAGACGAUUACAACUAGGGGAGGGAGAUGCAACCGCAAUACAGUGUUAUUUUUAAAAAAUGCAAGCACAAUGUUAGGGUUUUUAUUUCAGUAUUGAUGUGGAUGAUGAGUCUCGCCUGAAAAAUGUGUUUUGGUCUGAUAAUAGCUGUAGGCAAGCUUACAUGGAGUUUGGUGACGUAGUCACAUUUGACACCACUUAUCUGACGAAUAAGUAUGACAUGCCGUUCGCGCCCUUUGUUGGUGUGAAUCAUCACGGUCAAUCAACAUUGUUCGGUUGUGGGUUGUUAUUAAACGAGGACACAUAUACAUUUGUCUAGCUAUUUAGAACGUGGCUUCAGUGCAUGCACGGUAGAGCCCCCCAUGGAAUAAUUAUUGAUCAAGAUAGGGCUAUGCAAAAUGCUAUUGAGAUCGUGUUCCCAGAUACCAGGCAUAGGUGGUGUCUAUGGCACAUUUUGAAAAAGUUGUCGGACAAGUUCGGAUACCAUGUAAAUAAGGCUGCAAUAUUUUCGAUGAUACAUCAGUUGGUAUAUGAUUCAUAGAAUAUAUAAGAAUUUGAAUCAACUUGGAAACAGAUGAUUGAGAAAUAUGACUUGAUGGAUAACGAAUGGUUGUCGGGGUUAUAUGUUAAUAGAGCUCGUUGGGUUCCUUGCUUUUUGAAAACCACGUUUUGGGUAGAGAUGUCCAUAACUCAACGCAGCGAGAGUAUGAAUGCAUUUUUCGAUGGUUAUGUCCAUUCUAAGAUCUCGCUGAAGCAAUUUGUAGAACAGUACGAACGAGCGCUCAGGGAUAAGGUCGAAAAGGAGUUUCAGGCAGAUCUUAGGUCAUACUCACAAACUAUAACGUGUGCAACAAACUACGAAAUCGAAAAGCAUUUUCAGUAGGUUUAUACCAUUUCCAAGUUCAGGGAAGUCUAGGAUGAAUUCAAGGGUAAGGUAUACUGUGAUCUCAUAUCUGCUUCUGAGGGACCUCAUGGGACCACGUAUGCGGUGCGUGAGGACGUCCUUUAUGGUGAGCAGAGGAAGAAGAAAAUGUUCUCUGUCUCAUUCCAGAGAGAGACAGCUGAAUUCGUAUGCAGUUGUCACUUGUUCGAGUUCCGAGGUAUUGUUUGCAGACAUGCGAUCGUGAUAUUGAUUCGUAAUGACGUCACGCAGUUGUCCGAGCAUUAUACACUACGGCGGUGGAGGAGGGACGUUAGCAGGAGUUACACAAGGGUUGCGGUGAAUUAUGAUGGUCAGGUCAAUUUUCCUAGAGAGUUGAGGUAUGAUAGUAUGUGCAAAGCUUUUGCAGAGGUAGCUGACCUUGCGGCAGAGGACCAGGGCCGGACACGUGCAAUAUUAGACUGGAUAAAAUUGCAAGCAAAGGAGCUUAUGACAAGAAAUUCCUGUGAUGCAAGCAAUAGCGUGAUGCAACAAACUAUACCGUUAUCCUCUCAGUAUACGCCAUCCCAAACUACUAUGAACGACGUCAUACUAGACCCAAACGUUGCAAAGAGGAAGGGAGCACCCCGAAGACUUUGAAAAAAAAAGUCCGUUAGAGUUGAUGUCCAAGAAACCAUGGGUUUGUUCAUCGUUUUCCAUCACUAUUUGUCAAAAGUUGUGAAUUUGUAUUGCAAUUUAAUUAUCUUUUGCAUGUAGGCAUCUUCGACAUCAAGCAAAGGAAAGAGACCAAGACCAAGGUACGGUAAUGAGGAAAAGGUUGCAUCUGAAUUUGUAGCUUCGCAAGAACAAUACUCGUCACAGACACCGUUCUCCUAUUCACAACUAUUGCUGGUAAGUAUCGUCAUAUAGUUCAACUAUUUGUUGUAGGUGUU